rnacentral:siRNA from 1 species
UUGCACAGCCUCCAACGGGUCCA